rnacentral:rRNA from 1 species
GUCCACGCCGUAAACUAUGAGGACUAGGUGUUGGCUCAAUUUGAGUCAGUGCCGCAGGUAACCCAUUAAGUCCUCCACCUGGGGAGUACGUCCGCAAGGAUGAAACUCAAAGGAAUUGACGGGGCCCGCACAAGCGGUGGAACAUGUGGUUUAAUUCGACGCUACGCGUAGAACCUUACCUAUGUUUGACAUGCUAGAAGUACUGAAGUGAAAGCGGAUGGACUCGUCAAGUCGAGAGCUAGCACAGGUGGUGCAUGGCUGUCGU